AUUGAACGCUGGCGGCAGGCUUAACACAUGCAAGUCGAACGAGUGGCGGACGGGUGAGUAAUGCUUGGGAAUCUGGCUUAUGGAGGGGGAUAACGACGGGAAACUGUCGCUAAUACCGCGUACCAUAGGAUGAGCCCAAGUGGGAUUAGGUAGUUGGUGGGGUAAUGGUCUACCAGGCCGACGAUCUCUAGCUGGUCUGAGAGGAUGACCAGCCAAACCGGGACUGAGGAACGGCCCGGAAUCCUACGGGAUGCAGCAGGGGGGAAUCUUCCGAAAUGGACGAAAGUCUGACGGAGCCAAGCCGCGUUAUGUGUGACGGCCUUCGGGUGGGAAAGCUCUGUUAAUCGGGAGACGGUACCGGAAUAGAAAGCAACGGCUAACUACGUGCCAGCAGCCGCGGUAAUUC
rnacentral:rRNA from 1 species